rnacentral:lncRNA from 1 species
CCGUUUCUUUCCUUUUUCCCUUUCCUUUUUCCUUUCAAACGAUUCUCGUUCAUCACGUGCAAUUGCAUUUCCUCGCUCCACCCAGAAAGCACGAUCCAAAACUUCUUCAAAAGUCUUUAACUUAAAAGCAUGUAUCACCUUGAAUAUCUCGGGUCACAACCCCCGUCAAAACAUUCAGCCCAGUCACGAUCCUCGUGAAUCAUACCCGGUACACAGUUCACCAGAUGUGAAAACUCCCGUUCAUACUCCCGUACCGAACAGUUUCCCUGUCUCAACUUGCAAAAAUCUUCUUUCAGUUUUCUUUUAUCACUAUCAAGAAAGUAUUCCAUAAACAAUAACUCACGAAACUCAUCCCAAGUAAUUGGAGGAAGAUUUGGAGACCGAUUUUUCUUAACCCUUCUCCACCAAACCUGAGCUGCCUUCUCAAAAUAGUGCGCGGCUAAAUGAACAUUGUCUGUAAUAUACCGAACUUCUAAUUCAUGAAGUUACGAUGUAUGUUAGCUUAGAAAGCCAUUGGAAUCGUUCCGGCGAAGUUCGGGAGCAUUCGGGUGCUUUGGUGCGCAUAGGGCGCGAGAACGGGACCCGAAAGGCUAUGUUGGACCGUGGACUAAAUCCGGCAUUAGCGUGGAUGAAAAGAUGAUGAAAACAUGUUUGAAAACAUGUUUGGAGAGUCUCGGUUCGAUUUGAAAAGAAACGGAGGUCAAACGAGUGAAAACGAGCGAAAACGGAGUGAAAAAGGAUAAAGGCUGAAAAUGCUGAAAAAUUGGCUAAGUCUGGAAUUCUGGCCUUUCGGGGACCGGUCUCUCACCGCAAGGACCGGUCCCAGAACCCCGAA